AGAGAGAGAGAGAGAGAGAGAGAGAGAGAGAGAGAGAGAGAGAGAGAGAGAGAGAGAGAGAGAGAGAGAGAGAGAGAGAGAGAGAAUUAUAAAACAAACAGGUAGGCACUCAAUUAUAAUUACAGGUACUUUAAAUUCGACAGACAGACAGACAGACAGACAAGCAGACAGACAGACAGACAGACAGGUAAACAAGAAGACAAGCAAAAGAAAAUGUAAUGAAAUGGAUGAAACACAAAUAAGUAAACAGGAAAACUUUAAAAAAAAUGAUAAAAAAAGUUGUGAUUGACAUGAUAACAAAUGAACUUAGACACAUAAAAAACAGGAGAGGACAGGUAAAUGUACAGGUGUUUAGAGAAGUAGAGUCCUUUAAUUAGCGUGAUUCGGAUGAGUAACGCUGAUGUAAUAACUCCGGCUGAUUGUUACUGUUGUUCAUGAAUACACGCUGUUAUGGUUGUU